AACGAACGCUGGCGGCAGGCCUAACACAUGCAAGUCGAACGCCCCGCAAGGGGAGUGGCGCACGGGUGAGUAACGCGUGGGAAUAUGCCCUUCGGUUCGGAAUAACACAGGGAAACUUGUGCUGAUACCGGAUAAGAUCUACGGAUGAAAGAUUUAUCGCCGAGGGAGUAGCCCGCGUAGGAUUAGCUAGUUGGUGAGGUAAUGGCUCACCAAGGCGACGAUCCUUAGCUGGUCUGAGAGGAUGAUCAGCCACACUGGGACUGAGACACGGCCCAGACUCCUACGGGAGGCAGCAGUGGGGAAUAUUGGACAAUGGGCGAAAGCCUGAUCCAGCCAUGCCGCGUGAGUGAUGAAGGCCUUAGGGUUGUAAAGCUCUUUCGCCAGGGAAGAUAAUGACGGUACCUGGAAAAGAAGCCUCGGCUAACUCCGUGCCAGCCGCCGCAGUAA
rnacentral:rRNA from 1 species